AUGCUCCUGUGUCCAUGGGAUUUCCCAGGCAAGAAUACUGGAGUGGGUUGCNNNNNNNNNNNNNNNNNNNNNNNNNNNNNNNNNNNNNNNNNNNNNNNNNNNNNNNNNNNNNNNNNNNNNNNNNNNNNNNNNNNNNNNNNNNNNNNNNNNUCCUGUGUCCAUGGGAUUUCCCAGGCAAGAAUACUGGAGUGGGUUGCCAUCAGAUGUUGGCUUUUAACAGUUGCUUCACUUGAUGAAAUGUUGAGUGGAUCAGGUGGGCAGUAUUAUGGCCCCCCAAAGAUUCAUCCUCAGAACCUUGUUCCUACUCAGUCCCAGGAAUUCUAAGUCAGGAUCAAGUAGGCAUCAAAGAAGAGAUAUGGGCAGAGCUCUGCAGAUUGCUCUUCUGGGUUAGUUGAGAAGCUCAGAAAAGAGAGGUAUCAUCUCCCGAAAAGAAUUAGGCAGCCCGACAGUAGCACGUGACCACAAACACCUCAGUCUCCGUGGACUCAUCCACGCCCACAGACAGUGCAUCUCAAGCACUUUACAGAUGUCUAGGAACUGGCCUCUAGAAGUGAGCACAGUAUUUACAAAGAGUUGAGAGGUCAAUGAAGAAGGAAGAUGAGAGGUGACUGCCUAUUUCAGUAGUACUUUCUUCUAUCAGAUGAGAAACCCAAAGAAAAACCCCAAGACCAAUCUAUUGACUACACCCAGAAUCAACUUCUGGAAAUAAAACUGCAGAUAACAAAUUGGCUUGAAAAGUAGGACUUGAAAGGAUAUUUCUUAUUGCUGAACCAAGAGCAGCAAAGUGUACUUCACUAACUUUCUAAUGUGAAAAGACCAUAAUAACAUCUGAGUGAUGAUACCCCCUGAAGACCCACCUGUGGGGAGUUCUUGCUCCCCAAGUGGCAGCAGGGAGACUGCCCUUCCUCUCCGGAUUCUUCUCUGCAGAGGUGGAGCAGUCCUAUAGAACAGCAAAAUACUCAAUGGUGAUCUCAGUGCUGGGUUUGGGUUAGAAUCCUUAAUAGACCCUACACUUGACCACUGAGCAGAACAGGAAGCAAUCUUUUUAAAUGCAAAGAUUCAGAGGAGAAAGCAAGGCAUUGUCCAAGUAUGAGAGGAGAGACAUGGCCUAUUUAGGUAUCUAUCCAGGUAAAUGUGCAGGUUUUGAUCACAAACAUACGAUUUUACAGGAGGCUUGAAAACAAGUGAACAAUUUUUUCCUUAGUUUUAUCAAAGAUAAAACCUAGAGAAUAGCAUAAUAAUGAAAAUGUUUACUUUUGGAAAGAUCACUGUAAGACCUAUCCCCAUUCUGGGCCUUUCUCUUUAAAGCUUUUAUUUUUUUAAAUUCCAAAUAAAUUAUAAAAACAGAUUUGUAAAAUAAAUACUGUAAGUCAGAAGUUAUAUGCUCUAUGUCAAACUUGAAAAGUAGGCUGUUAGACUGCUGGUCAUGUCAAUUACUUCCAGGCUACAGUCACACUUGGAAUACAAUGGAUGGUAUGAAUUGCAUUCCACUGGAAGAAAAGCUGUGCAUCCUACCAAAGUAAUCUGCUAAACAGAUAUAAAUUUGGAAGAGUCUAACUAUUCUGGGGCUUUUCACCUUCAAGAGACAACAAGUUGUUUAUACUUGGAGUUUUUACUUUACUAAAAAAAGAAAAAAUCAUAGGAAGAUAAUCCAGAAAAUAUCACCUGUAAGUAUCUAUGGAAUAACCACAGAUUUAACUGCAAUCAGGAACAUCAACAGACAAUUAAAUAAACUAAGCUUCACAUGUAAACUGCAACCAAAAGAAAAUGGUAAUUUCCAUGACCUUUCUUAUGAUACUUGUAUAGCCACAUGUAUUUUUUGAAUAUCUCAACUCCUUACCUAGGAAACUAUUUUUAUGCUCAAAAGUAUACUUAUACACCUACAUUUUUAGAAAAUUCAGUUCAAUAACUUAAGGCCUGUAUUCCUAAAAAUACUGAUGAUAAAAAAUAAACCUUCAAGAGUUGAUAAAAAGACUAAUGGAUUUCUGAGCAUUUAUUAACUAUCAGUUACUAUAAGAUUUAGAAAAAUUUUAAAAUAAUCUUGCUGCUGUUAGUUCACAGCUCACUGACAACUCAUGAUCAUCCAAUGUACUUUUAAUUCAUAAGGGUGUUUUUUGCUCUAUCCUUGUUUUAUUUAGCCUCUUUAUUCAACACUUUAGGGAACUAUCCCUUAGGUCUUUAGAAAUGUUCUUUUUAUCUAAAAAAAAAAUAUAUUUUUUUCUAUUGACAUUCCUUAGUAAUUUUAACUGGGUAUUAUUAAAUUCCAUGUUCUACUUCACCAAGUCAAUCCCUUCACUUUACUCAAUCCCAUCUUUCAACUUGGCUUAGUUCCCUAAGCCAUUUAGACAAAACACUGCCCUGAGGACUCUCCUUGUGGUCCAGUGGUUAAGACUGCACUU
ensembl:lncRNA